rnacentral:rRNA from 1 species
AGGAUUCCCCUAGUAACGGCGAGUGAAGAGGGAAAAGCCCAGCACCGAAGCCUGCGCAGUUUUGCUGUUAGGCAAUGUGGUGUUUGGGUCGGCUCGUGGGAUCGCCACUCCACUCGAAGUCCAGCAUUGAGUAUGGUUACUGGAUUUGGCCCAGAGAGGGUGAAAGGCCCGUACGGUGGAGGUUCAGACAUGUGAGGCGGUUCACCAGGUCGACCUUAGAGUCGGGUUGUUUGGGAAUGCAGCCCAAAGUGGGUGGUAAACUCCAUCCAAGGCUAAAUACAAGCACGAGUCCGAUAGCGAACAAGUACCGUGAGGGAAAGUUGAAAAGUACUCUGAAGAGAGAGUAAACAGUACGUGAAACCGCAUGCAGGUAAACGGGUGGCGUCAAGCUGCAAGCCCAGAGGAUUCAGCCGACUAGGAUGUAGUGUAUGCGCCUGGCGCAUCUAUCAGCCGGAGUAUGAUUGGAUGGUCCACUGGUAGACAGUGGGCCCGGCGACCUUUGGGUUGUCGGGAUGUGUGUACCGGGUGGGUGCCGGAGCAUGCUGUCCGUCUGGGGGCUGUCUAGUCGGUGCACUUUCUCUGUGGUGAACACCACGACCGGUGGUAUUGCCAGUCUGCUGUGUCCAAGUUGUGCUCGGUAGGUCCUUGUGGCCUGCUGGGUGCGGCGAUCACGAGCAAAUUCAGUAAACGGCGUGGAGGUGUUUUUCGGCACUUCUGCGUGUUAUCGGCUACUGGUUGUUAACGAGCCUGCCCGGUGUGCUGUGUGUAGUCGGCAUCGGGUGGUUCGGUGGGACAUGGUGGUAAGAAUAACUGUGCAAGGCACCGGAGUUAUCGGCCUCAAAUGCGUCCUGUGCAGCUGUGCAGGCUACUACAAAUAGCUGGAUGGUGGUGCCGUUGCUGCCUGCCCGGUGUUGGGUGUGAUCGUCGUGUUGUCUGCGAAAAGUGGACCCGGCGUUGACUCGACUCGGGAUGGGUAGUUGGCGGUGUCGCUGGUGCAGGGUGCUGUGGGCCUAAUAGUCAGUGGU